UAUCCUACAGGUGUUAUUGAAUUUAGGCAGAAGAGGUGAUUUAGGUCCUGACUCGAAAAAGUCGUUAGAAGCAAAUGGUAGCUUCAUCAAAUGAUUUUGAUUACUUACAAAUGUAUUUAACUUUUUAGCUAGUUUUCUUAUAAAUGUGGAGUCCCAAUGGACCUUAAGAAAAACAAUUAUUAUAUGUAUUUUGCUUUUGUAAGUCUAUUUUAUGAAAUAAGUAAUAUCGUGAGAACAUAGAGUUUGAACUUUCUGUAAAGUGUCACUAUACACCUAAAUCGUAAUUUAACAACUUAUGACAUCUUUAAAUGAUAAAUAAUCAUUUGUUUAUCAUUUCUGCGAGUCUGUGGUUCUUAGUCAAGUAAAACAAAACAAAAAAAAACAAAAACAAGAAGAAAUUAUGAUGACACAGGAGAAUCUAGUGACACGUAGGUGGUAGGAAGAUGAGAAUUGAAGUUAUGUAAGAAGAGGAGAAGAAGAUUGUUGAUUAGACAGUUGGAUCAGGAGGCUGACCUAAAAAAACUUAGAGAUAAGCACUCAGUCACUUCCUGCCAGAGGAGCCAGUCAGACAUGAAACAUUGAGAGUAUCAAUCUCUAGAACAUCAACCUGCAAGUUGCAAGAUUUCCGGCUAGCAAUUGGUCUAGGAUUUCGAAAGAAGUUAGAGAAAUUUCAAGGGGUCGUCAAAAAUCUCCACAGGGACUGAACGUGACUGAGAGUCUUCCCAACAUUUCCAAGUAGUCCAGAUGUAUCUGAAGAAGCAUUCCUUUUUUUUGUUGUUUUGUCUAGAAGAAGAAAAAGAAAGCAGAACAAGAGAGAAGGAUUUCUACCAUUGUAGCUGUCCAGAAUUCUCCUUGAUUAAUGCAUCUUGCCUCUACUCCCAGUUUUAUUCAUCUCAAGGACUAAAGAUUGUGUCCGUUUGUUGGACUAAAGACUAUAGUAUCUGGACAUCAUCAUAAUUAUAAUUCCUUUUUUCCAAGUCUACUAAACUACCAUAAUCAGUGUUCAUUAGUUUUUAUCUCUGAUAAUUGAUCAUUUUCUUCUUAAAGGUAUUUAUCUUCCAUGGAGAUUUUGUAAAAUCACAUGUCCUCUCUCUCAAUAAAGAUCCCAGUUUCAACAAACCAUGGUUGUCUGUUUUAAUUGUGUAAAGAACGACUCACUUUGCCAUUCCUACUCACACGUAUAAACCACAUAAUUGUGGUAGGCUAACACCUGUUGACAUCGUUCACCAGAUCCACAUAAAUAUGUUUAUUUUUCCCUGCAUUUUUGUUGUUUUUAUUUACAUAGCGAUUUUUCUGGAUUUACCUAAACGAUCCUGUAUAUAAAGCUAUUCUGAUUUUGG
rnacentral:lncRNA from 1 species